CCAGAUGGUGGUCAGCAACAUGAGGCCAGCGAGAAUGCCAAACAGCACACUGCAAGGAGAAAAUAAAGGAAAGAAGUAAGAAAACUACAGGUCACAGUCACAGCUUUCGGCUCAAGCUCUGGCGCAGAAGCUUCUUCGUUGGCUUUGCUUGGAGCAGCUAAAGUUUUGGGUUUCGCUUUGCUUUUGCCACUGGGCAAGAGCCACGUUUGCAAUCCGCCCGUCGGCGCCUCAACCAAGAUGUACAUGCCAUAAGCCAACAGCACGGAGAAGCCAAAGUCCGACCAGAAGCGCAGCAUCUGAUGAAAGAGGAAGAAGACAUAAGUAAGUGUUCGUUCUGCUUGUGUAAGUGUUGAACUGCUCAAUCAAGAUGUGCCAAAUGUAGGCGCUAUACGAGAGCUUCGACAGCGGUUGCCACAGCGGCGAGGAAAGGAAACUGUUGGCCAAUCCACCGUAGCCAUACUUGCAGGCAAACACAACCCAGACCAAGGCCAUUGGCCACGAGAUGCGAGUCAGCGUCACGUAGAAGGCUUCAUUGAGUAUGGGCAGCGAAUAACCAUUGGCGGCGUAUGGAUACAGGCCAAAGAGGCUGGAAAAGAUCAGGGCCAAGCAGGAGAUCCAACCAGCCCAGACAGUCAAUUGAUUCAGCUUGAAGGAUUUUCCGCGAUUCACGUGCAAAAAGUAACCAAAGAGCAGACCAAUUGCCCAUGGCGAGGCUCGAGUGAUAUGAUAUAUUUGAAUACUUACAUGGAGUAUCCCUUGAUCACCAUCAUGCUGAAGAGACAGCCAGCGAGCAGCAACGUGAGCACCACAAUCACAGCGACAGCUUUCUUACCCCACUUGUAGAGCGCCAUGAUCAGGAAGGGAGCAAACAGAUACAUCUGCAUGUCUACGCUCAGAUACCAACUGUGCUCCAAGCACUACAGAAAAGAAAUUGCAUUUUGAAAUUAUAGAUCAACUUUGGCAAUGGAUUUUUAUGAGGAUGGCACUUGUACAUACUUUUCCACGGCGCGCAUGGCAACCAAGACAACGAGCAAACCACUCAAAAAGAAGAAA